rnacentral:rRNA from 1 species
GAUUGAACGCUGGCGGCAGGCCUAACACAUGCAAGUCGAGCGGAUGAAGGGAGCUUGCUCCUGGAUUCAGCGGCGGACGGGUGAGUAAUGCCUAGGAAUCUGCCUGGUAGUGGGGGAUAACGUCCGGAAACGGGCGCUAAUACCGCAUACGUCCUGAGGGAGAAAGUGGGGGAUCUUCGGACCUCACGCUAUCAGAUGAGCCUAGGUCGGAUUAGCUAGUUGGUGGGGUAAAGGCCUACCAAGGCGACGAUCCGUAACUGGUCUGAGAGGAUGAUCAGUCACACUGGAACUGGGACACGGUCCAGACUCCUACGGGAGGCAGCAGUGGGGAAUAUUGGACAAUGGGCGAAAGCCUGAUCCAGCCAUGCCGCGUGUGUGAAGAAGGUCUUCGGAUUGUAAAGCACUUUAAGUUGGGAGGAAGGGCAGUAAGUUAAUACCUUGCUGUUUUGACGUUACCAACAGAAUAAGCACCGGCUAACUUCGUG